GAUGAACGCUGGCGGCGUGCCUAAUACAUGCAAGUCGAGCGAACGGACGAGAAGCUUGCUUCUCUGAUGUUAGCGGCGGACGGGUGAGUAACACGUGGAUAACCUACCUAUAAGACUGGGAUAACUUCGGGAAACCGGAGCUAAUACCGGAUAAUAUUUUGAACCGCAUGGUUCAAAAGUGAAAGACGGUCUUGCUGUCACUUAUAGAUGGAUCCGCGCUGCAUUAGCUAGUUGGUAAGGUAACGGCUUACCAAGGCAACGAUGCAUAGCCGACCUGAGAGGGGGAUCGGCCACACUGGAACUGGGACACGGCCCAGACUCCUACGGGAGGCAGCAGUAGGGAAUCUUCCGCAAUGGGCGAAAGCCUGACGGAGCAACGCCGCGUGAGUGAUGAAGGUCUUCGGAUCGUAAAACUCUGUUAUUAGGGAAGAACAUAUGUGUAAGUAACUGUGCACAUCUUGACGGUACCUAAUCAGAAAGCCACGGCUAACUACGUG
rnacentral:rRNA from 1 species